CUUUAAAAAUUGUUUUUGUAGGAUGGCAGGAAAUGGAACCAUUGCUUUCUCUGCAAAAAGUGUGUGAAGCCUUCUUGGAUCCACUGUAACGUUUGCAAUCACUGUGCUCUUCCAGAUCAUUCUUGCGGAGGUCCUAAAGACGGCUGCUUUAUUUGUGGUGAAUUAGAUCAUAAACGUAGUACUUGUCCUAACAUCUCUACAUCUAAGAAAGCUGACAAAGCUGUCAGAAAGCAGAAGCAAAGAAAAAGCAAUAAGAUGAAAAUGGAGACCACUAAAGGACAGUCCAUGAAUCAUACAUCUGUUACAAGGAGGAAGAAAAGGAGAGAAAGAGCCCAUCAAUAUCUUUGCUCUUAAAUGUCCAGUGACUUGAGAAUAAGAAAGAUUUACAGUCCAACCUUUGAUGCCAUUUUCUGAAAGUGCCACGCCGGACUUAAAUUCUGUAGCUUUCAAAGGUAUGCACCUUUCUAAGCUUGAGAACAGGCAAGUGGCAUUUGCUGGUUUAUAGACCCCCCCAGCAGCCCCUCGGGAGACCUGGGGACCUGUUCCAUCCUUAGCUAGUUUACUAGCUCUCUCUGCUUUUCUUCUCUUUAAAUCUCUUCCAGUUGUAUUGUUUUAGCCUCUUUUAUAUGAAGAAUGGGCAUAGAAUAUUCUUUUGCAGAAAGAAAGAAGAAAAUGAAGAUGAAAACCUAAAGCUUUGUUUAUAUUGAACAGAGGAGUAGGUUAAGUUAGAUAUUUUAAAUUAAAUAUUAAAAUACUGUAAAAUAGCUUAAGCCCCACUUGUAAAGAGAAAUAUAAUUUUUUAGACAGAAUCUGAAGAUGAUGGAAAGAAUUUUGACAAAGGAGUCUAAAGAUAUAAAGAUUAUGAUUAUAUUAUUAUUAAAUAUUUAUUUUUCAAAUACUUUUUGCAGUUGUCCUUUGAUGGUAUAGAAUCACCUAAAUGUUUGUUGAAUGACUGAGGUGUUUAGAAUUAUGACCUGCUCUGACAUCUCAGUGUCUUUUAAGCUAGGCAGUGCUUUUCUCUCUUUGUAAAAGUGGUAGCAGGAGGCAGGAUACUUUGGUGAUUGGGACUCUUCACUCUAAUUUUCACACUUCCUGGUUGUAUGUCCUUGGCCAGGUCAUUCACUCUCUAGAAGCCCCUAACUCUUCAUUAUUAUAAUGGGGACAAUAAUAUUCACACUUGGGUUUGUUUUGUGGUUAAAUUAAAUGGGGUGCAUGUGUCUGGCUCUCAGUUCUCCUGUUACUGGUGAGAAGUGAAUCAGAUGUCCACGGAGCACUGGUGUUAAUCACCGGUCCCUGGGUGGUCCAGGAUCAUGGUGCUGAAGGGAGUAGUUUGGACAAACAGCUCAUCUCCCCAUUUCUCUGCUAGGUAUCUGACAUUAUCUGCUUAAGCUUGAAUAAAGUCUUGAAUGGCUUGCA